rnacentral:rRNA from 1 species
UCUGGGUCGCAUGGCUACAUGCUGUUGCUUAUAACCUUAGCCUGGUUGCGAUCGGGUUGAGUUUAUGGCUCGGUGUCGUGGUUGUGCAGCCUUUCUGCCGUGUCUGUUUACAGGUGCUGGCGGAUCGAUUUCGGUCUACUGGCAUGCUUCCAGAUGCCUUUAAACGGGUGUCGGGGGCGGACGGCAUGUUUACUUUGAACAAAUUUGAGUGCUCAAAGCAGGCCUUGUGCCUGAAAAGUCUUGCAUGGAAUAAUGGAAUAGGACUUCGGUUCUAUUUUGUUGGUUUUCGGAUCCGAAGUAAU